rnacentral:rRNA from 1 species
UUCCAGACUCCUACGGGAGGCAGCAGUGGGGGAUAUUGCACAAUGGGGGGAACCCUGAUGCAGCGACGCCGCGUGGGCGAUGGAGUGCUUCGGCAUGUAAAGCCCUAUCAGCAGGGAAGAAAAUGACGGUACCUGACUAAGAAGCCCCGGCUAACUACGUGCCAGCAGCCGCGGUAAUACGUAGGGGGCAAGCGUUAUCCGGAUUUACUGGGUGUAAAGGGAGCGUAGGCGGCGAUGCAAGUCAGAAGUGAAAGCCCGGGGCUCAACUCCGGGACUGCUUUUGAAACUGUGUUGCUAGAUUGCAGGAGAGGUAAGUGGAAUUCCUAGUGUAGCGGUGAAAUGCGUAGAUAUUAGGAGGAACACCAGUGGCGAAGGCGGCUUACUGGACUGUAAAUGACGCUGAGGCUCGAAAGCGUGGGGAGCAAACAGGAUUAGAUACCCGUGUA